AUGAUGAACCACGUGUUGAAGGGAGUGCAGUGCCUUCCGAUCAGCGCGAUAGUGAAGGUGACACUCAACCGUAUGGAAGAGUACUUCAAAAGCACAAGCGAUGCAGCAAAAGAAGCAAUAGAGAAUCCAGUAAUGAACUUCCCUAAAAGAGUCCAGGAUGACAUUAAUUCCAAAAUGCAAAAGGCCCAGACUCAUCAAGUUAUCCGCAUGACCACCAAGGACAAAAAUGCUGCGAAAGAUGUCGGAAAAUUUGUGGUUAAGUCAGGGCAGAAGCGUGUAAGUGUUCACCUGGAUUCAGAAUAUGCCACUGGCAUGAAAAUGUCUCGAGGAUGCAGAAUCAGAAAAAGUGCCGCGUGUUCAUGCAACAAGCCGCAUCUUCUUCGCAUGCCCUGCUCUCAUGUCAUUGCCGUCUGCUCUCAUAUUGGAGUUAGCGCUGCUACAUACGUGUCCCCAUACUACACCUUGUCCUAUCUAGGAGAUACCUGGAGCAGCAAAUCUGUUGUAUCCGACUCUUCAUAUGACUACAGGAAAUUUGGCUCUGCGACAACAACUUGGAUCCCGGACAAAAAGUUGGAGUGUGGCCUUCCUGUGUUUCCAACAUCAGACUGCAUACAAACUGGCCCGGAUGAGGAAGAUCAAUAG
rnacentral:rRNA from 1 species